CAUCAGGUGGUGUUUUUGCUUAUCAGUUGAAGUUUGCUGUUUGUUUGGAAAAUUUUUGGCGUCUUAGGAGCAUAUAUAUUUUAUAGUUAGCGGAAAAAGUUGUGCAAUGUUGUGGUUUAAUCUUUUAUUACCAAUUUUGCUAUCAAUAUCUGAUUUUGCUUACUCUAUCGAUGAGAGUCGGUUGGUCGAUGCUGAAAAAACACUGGUGUGGGGGCCUGGCUUGAAGCCGGAUGAAGUUGUUUUACCAGCGCGUUAUUUUUUCAUACAUGCUGUGGACAAAAAUGGGCGCAAAUUUGAGCAAUCACCCCCACAGGAAUUUCAAGUGCUUAUCAAAGGCAAUUCGCCGCAUGGUAAAUGUCGGUCAAAUGUAAAUUUCAUUGAUCGCGGUGAUGGCUCCUCGAUUAUACGCUAUAAUAUAGCCGACUGGUGUGAUCAAGUUGAAUUGCAAGUGCGCUAUAAUGGCUCACAUGUAGCACAUUCUCCGUAUGUUAUAUAUAAUAAGGUAUACUCAGAACGUUGCUACUGCCCACAAGAUUCAAAAUUGUGGAUGUUGCACAACAAUUGUCCAUCAGGUUUAGAUGACAAACAGAUCGCUUGGGACUUGCAUUCAUUUAAGCGUGUUAACUUUAGCGCUAUACGCGAGAAUCUUUUGCGGCGCUACAAUCAACCGGAGAGCGUAUCGUUAUGCCAUUAUGUAGUGAAACAGCAACAAAUAUGGCGACAAUGUUAUGGCAAGUAUACUGGUUUCAAAAUGUUCAUGGAUGCAACCUUGUUGGCAUUAGGACGUGUUGCUCUACUGCCAGAUAUGGAAUUCUAUUUGAAUUUGGGCGAUUGGCCGCUCUCGAAAAAAGGUGGACAACAGCGUACUUCUGGUCCAUAUCCAAUAUUCUCGUGGUGUGGUAGUGAAGACUCUUACGACAUAGUACUACCUACAUACGACAUAACCGAAUCUACAGUGGAGAAUAUGGGACGUGUAACUUUGGAUAUGUUGUCUGUGCAAAAAAGCGAAUAUUCAUGGGACAUAAAAGAAUCUAAAGCUUUCUGGCGCGGCAGAGACUCACGGCGCGAGCGACUUGAAUUAAUCGAAUUGGCACGUAAACAUCCAAAUUGGUUAAAUGCAUCACUAACGAAUUUCUUUUUCUUCCGUAACGAGGAAGAUAAGUACGGUCCCAAAGUGCCGCAUAUAUCGUUUUUGGAAUUUUUUCGGUACAAAUACCAGCUAAAUGUGGAUGGUGUCGUCGCUGCUUAUCGCUUUCCGUAUUUGCUUGCCAGUGACUCGUUGGUAUUCAAACAAGAUUCGGGUUUCUAUGAACACUUUUACAGCAAAUUAACGCCGUACAAACAUUAUGUGCCAUUUAAACGCGAUUUAAGUGAUUUAAUUGAACGUCUACAGUGGGCAAAAGAAAAUGACGAUCGCGCCCGUGAAAUUGUGUCAGAAGCACGGAAAUUCGUAGAAGCUAAUCUAAUGCCACAGCAUAUUUAUUGCUAUCAUAUGGCUUUAUUUAAGAAAAUAAAGUGAUGCGAAUGCGGCGGUUUUAAUAAAAGUAUCUAAAAAGUGUGAAAUCAGUUUAAUUUGAAAACUAUGUUUUUAACUGACAAGCUAGAAGAUGAAGGGACCAUCAAGGUAGACCUAAAUAUAAAAGUGUGAUACAAAAGUGUUGCUAAAUAUUUAUAUUGUGAUGUCGGUGAUACAGAAGUUCGUUUGUGCUUUGAAAUCCUAGUUGAAGUGAAAUAUUUAAGUGUAAAAGUGAGAAAAAAGUUAACAAAUUUAAAUAUGUUCAAGGCGAUCAUUGCUUAAGCGAUUUCCUACAACAGCUGCCAAAACCUUUCACACAACAUUUUAUUAUUUUGUGGCGAAAAUGUGUACUUUUUUACGACAUUGGAAUCUCUAUAAAAUUCAUAGUUUUCAUCGCAAUUCAUGCAACAACAUACUUAAUUUUUUCUGUUAAUCAUUUUACUUUGCCUGGAAAAUUGCUAAACUAACCCUGCAUGAUUAAUGGCAAUACAGUAUCAAUGCUUUUUGUACUUUCCGCGGUGACACUUUCCAUUAGAAAUGCAUUUCAUUUAAAGCAUUAUCGAGUGACAUCUUAAUCAAUGAAGUUGCGAGUAAACAAUAUUUCCUGGUUCCAUGUGAAGCCAACACCCACAGUCGCCCAAAAGGCAACUAUUAAAGGAGCGCCGAACAGUAACACAUAACAACAACCACAUACAGCUUUACUGAUGAUCCUGUCAGGAGUUAUGCAGAUAACGCGGGCGCACCUUUUUUUCGAGGGGUCACCGGAAAUUACAUUACAAUGGCGGAGUUUUGAUUUUUUUUUAAUUUAAAUAUCAGAAAUUAUUCUUUAAAUGUGUAACUUCAAGACAGAAAAAAGUUGAAUUAAAUAAAUAAUUUUUAUAUUGAAAAAAAAUAUUGAAAAUACCCGACGAAACCCAUGUAACCCCUUAAGAAAAAUUUUUAAUUUUUAAAAAUGUUACGCAUACGCCCCACCAUAUUUUAUGUGUGUUGAAUAAUUUUCAUAUUAAAAUGUUCAAUUUUGUGAUUAUUUUUAGAUAUUUAUUAAGAUUGUACGAAAAUUUGUAAACACGCUGUCACGCUCUUUUUGCUAACUUUAAGACUCACAUCAGAAGCGAGAGGAGAAAUGCAACCACACAACUAAGUUGUAAAGUACAUGUCAUAUGUAUAUGUAUUGUAUAUCAUAUGUACAUACCAUAUAUAAUAUCACAUUUGUACAAUAGAUUUUGUAUAUAACCAAUUUUUUUAACACAAUACAGACAACAUAUAUUGUUUUUUAGUAGUGAAUUUAACAAUUUAUUAGUUUUAUUAAAUUUUACACUUUGUGUGAAACAAAUUUUAAUAUUUCUCAAAAAUAAUUAUUUGACAAGAAAAAAACAAUAAUUCACGCU